UCAUUUUAAUUUUGGCAGGUUGCUUCUCUUAAAGAAGGUGUAUCCCUAGAAACCAAACUUCUGAGUAGGUAAGCUAGCUUGUUUGUUAUUUACGUAGGAAGGAAGCUGCUUUGCGACAAAGAGAGGGUGCUCUCAAGGCUGGCAAACAAACACAGGAUGGGAGAGAUGAGGAAAUCACAGCCCUUCGUGUGGAAAUUUAGAAUCUAAAAGAUGAUACAGCAGCAGCAGCUUUUGAACAACAGCAAGAAGCUUCAAUCUUUCCCCU